rnacentral:rRNA from 1 species
UACGUAGGGGGCAAGCGUUAUCCGGAAUUACUGGGUGUAAAGGGAGCGUAGACGGUGAUGCAAGUCUGGAGUGAAAGGCGGGGGCCCAACCCCCGGACUGCUCUGGAAACUGUAUGACUGGAGUGCAGGAGAGGUAAGCGGAAUUCCUAGUGUAGCGGUGAAAUGCGUAGAUAUUAGGAGGAACACCAGUGGCGAAGGCGGCUUACUGGACUGUAACUGGCGUUGAGGCUCGAAAGCGUGGGGAGCAAACAGG